GUACCUACGGGGGGCAGCAGUGGGGGAUAUUGCACAAUGGGGGGAACCCUGAUGCAGCGACGCCGCGUGGGUGAAGGAGCGUUUCGGCGCGUAAAGCCCUAUCGGCAGGGAAGAAGAUGACGGUACCUGACCAAGAAGCCCCGGCUAACUACGUGCCAGCAGCCGCGGUAAUACGUAGGGGGCAAGCGUUAUCCGGAUUUAUUGGGCGUAAAGCGAGUGCAGGCGGUUCAAUAAGUCU
rnacentral:rRNA from 1 species